rnacentral:siRNA from 1 species
GGGCAAAACUCCAGCAAAGCCAUA